GGAGGCCAGUUGGACAAGGCU
rnacentral:miRNA from 1 species